CAGGUGUUAGUUUAUAAAAAUAUCGGUUUUGGGGACCGAAGAUAGAAGAGUUUUCUACUCCUGA
rnacentral:tRNA from 1 species